rnacentral:rRNA from 1 species
CAGGUGCUGCAUGGCUGUCGUCAGCUCGUGUUGUGAAAUGUUGGGUUAAGUCCCGCAACGAGCGCAACCCUUAUCCUUUGUUGCCAGCGGUCCGGCCGGGAACUCAAAGGAGACUGCCAGUGAUAAACUGGAGGAAGGUGGGGAUGACGUCAAGUCAUCAUGGCCCUUACGACCAGGGCUACACACGUGCUACAAUGGCGCAUACAAAGAGAAGCGACCUCGCGAGAGCAAGCGGACCUCAUAAAGUGCGUCGUAGUCCGGACUGGAGUCUGCAACUCGACUCCAUGAAGUCGGAAUCGCUAGUAAUCGUGGAUCAGAAUGCCACGGUGAAUACGUUCCCGGGCCUUGUACACACCGCCCGUCACACCAUGGGAGUGGGUUGCAAAAGAAGUAGGUAGCUUAACCUUCGGGAGGGCGCUUACCACUUUGUGAUUCAUGACUGGGGUGAAGUCGUAACAAGGUAACCGUAGGGGAACCUGCGGUUGGAU